CAUCCGCAGGCUGGCCGGCAGGCCCCCCCAGGCUGGGCUGGGUGAGUAUCGCUUGGAAAGGCUCCCCCUCAAGCACAACCAGGAGC
rnacentral:pre_miRNA from 1 species